GAUCCUGGCUCAGGAUGAACGCUAGNUACAGGCUUAACACAUGCAAGUCGAGGGGCAUCGGGAAGAAAGCUUGCUUUCUUUGCUGGCGACCGGCGCACGGGUGAGUAACACGUAUCCAACCUGCCCUUUACUCGGGGAUAGCCUUUCGAAAGAAAGAUUAAUACCCGAUAGCAUAAUGAUUCCGCAUAGUUUCAUUAUUAAAGGAUUCCGGUAAAGGAUGGGGAUGCGUUCCAUUAGGUUGUUGGUGAGGUAACGG
rnacentral:rRNA from 1 species